UUGAACGCUGGCGGCAGGCCUAACACAUGCAAGUCGAGCGGAUGAAGGGAGCUUGCUCCUGGAUUCAGCGGCGGACGGGUGAGUAAUGCCUAGGAAUCUGCCUGGUAGUGGGGGAUAACGUCCGGAAACGGGCGCUAAUACCGCAUACGUCCUGAGGGAGAAAGUGGGGGAUCUUCGGACCUCACGCUAUCAGAUGAGCCUAGGUCGGAUUAGCUAGUUGGUGGGGUAAAGGCCUACCAAGGCGACGAUCCGUAACUGGUCUGAGAGGAUGAUCAGUCACACUGGAACUGAGACACGGUCCAGACUCCUACGGGAGGCAGCAGUGGGGAAUAUUGGACAAUGGGCGAAAGCCUGAUCCAGCCAUGCCGCGUGUGUGAAGAAGGUCUUCGGAUUGUAAAGCACUUUAAGCUGGGAGGAAGGGCAGUAAGUUAAUACCUUGCUGUUUUGACGUUACCAACAGAAUAAGCACGGGCUAACUUCGUG
rnacentral:rRNA from 1 species